UAGGGAAUAUUGGGCAAUGGGCGAAAGCCUGACCCAGCAAUGCCGCGUGUGUGAUGAAGGCCUUCGGGUUGUAAAGCACUGUCGGGAGGGAAGAAAAAGAGUGGGUAACGCCACGACUUGACGGUACCUCCAAAGGAAGCACCGGCUAACUCCGUGCCAGCAGCCGCGGUAAUACGGAGGGUGCGAGCGUUGUUCGGAAUUACUGGGCGUAAAGCGCGUGUAGGCGGCGACGUAAGUCGGAUGUGAAAGCCCUCGGCUCAACCGAGGAAGUGCAUCCGAUACUGCGUUGCUUGAGUUUCGGAGGGGGUGGCGGAAUUCCUGGUGUAGAGGUGAAAUUCGUAGAUAUCAGGAGGAACACCCGUGGCGAAGGCGGCCACCUGGACGAACACUGACGCUGAGACGCGAAAGCGUGGGUAGCAAACAGGAUUAGAUACCCCCGUAGUCC
rnacentral:rRNA from 1 species